AGAACGAACGCUGGCGGCAGGCCUCAAACAUGCAAGUCUAGGGGGUGUAGCAAUACAUCACCGGCGGACGGGUGCGUAACACGUGGGAAUAUACCUUUUGGUUCGGAACAACGCAGGGAAACUUGCGCUAAUACCGAAUGUGCCCUUACGGGGAAAGAUUUAUCGCCAAAGGAUUAGCCCGCGUAGGAUUAGCUAGUUGGUGAGGUAAUGGCUCACCAAGGCUCCGAUCCUUAGCUGUUCUGAGAGGAAGAUCAGCCACACUGGGACUGAGACACGGCCCAGACUCCUACGGGAGGCAGCAGUUGGGAAUCUUGGACAAUGGGGGAAACCCUGAUCCAGCCAUGCCGCGUGAGUGAUGAAGGCCUUCGGGUUGUAAAACUCUUUCGACGGGGAUGAUAAUGACGGUACCCGUAGAAGAAGCUCCGGCUAACUUCGCGCCAGCAGCCGC
rnacentral:rRNA from 1 species